CGCCAUUUUAAGCAGGCGACAUGCAGCUGGCCAGCAAUGCUGAGGCAAAGCGCAGCCCGCAAAGGACAUGAGACCUGACCAUGUAGAGGAAGACAACUAGUAUUCCACUUUUUAGCUUCCCCCUUUGGUGAAGAAGAUGAUUGCAGUGUGACAACUUACCCGUGUGACAACAAGCCCCGGUCUCCCUAUUCAUGCCAGUAAACAAAAUAUUCACCACUGUUACUUGACUUAAUAUUACAAGUAAUCUGUUGAAGUACAUGCACACAAAAAAACCUAACAAACUAACACCUGGGUUUACAGUAAGAUAAGCUUUUCACAAUAAACGUGUCUUCUCCUACUGGGUCAUGGAGAUGUAAACUUGUUCAAAAAUAUUUACUGUCUGCAUUCACAUAAAAUAUAGUUGGAGAUAGUUAAAGACCUUCAACUGUGGGUCUACAAGUAGAUCUAAAAAAAAAAGGUAUUCAGUUAGUAAGAGCACAUGUGGUUACCUUCCACUGAUUCUCAAAGGAACUAGUACAACAGAUAGAGCUUUUCACUUAUCAUAUCAUUUUUCUUUAUUGAAUUUCCAUUAUGCUGUGUUUAUUAUGCAGCCAUGCAAUGAGACUCAAAUUAAGAUGUUCACACAUCCCCCACAUCUUCCUGAAUGACUCAUUUAGUAAAGAUGCUUCGUAGGUCAAUUUUAAGACUUAAAACAGAAACUGAAAUUCCCCGAAUGGUUCUCAUAUGUGGAGGAUUCAAAAAUGUAUUCAUAACUACACAGAUUUUUAGCAUAUUCCAUCAGUCAUCAAUACAGAUAAAUCCAUGAGAAAUAUAUAUUAAAAUAUCAUCAGAGAACAUUUGGGAGUAAGAGAACACUGAUCGUAAAAGGCAAAAGCCUAUUUGUUUCCAUCCUUGUAUAAUUGUUUCUAAUUAUCUGUGUUUAAAAUACAAUUCUUCGUGGCAUGUCCUCCUACCAUCAUAUCUUAUCACUCUGAGUUCAGUUAUGAUGUAUUUGUCCCAAUGAUUUUAGGACCAGGGCUAUGUUAGAACCACUUAGUGAAGCAUUAUUAGAACAUUAUUGGCCACAUUUCUACAUUCAUACCAGUUUAUCAGGUAGUAUAACAAUCAUGGUUAUCUCAAAUCAGAGUGUUGAUCAGGAGAGGAUGUACUGUGGCUAGAUAUGGCUUUCACCAACUGCAGUGAAGAUCACCUUCAUGAAGGAAGCCCUCUGCUGGACAGUAGAGAGAAUUACUGAAAGAAAAGCAAGCCAUUUUUACUACUGACAGUGAAACCACUAUAGUUGUUCACGGGUGGUUGAUGUUUACGUCAAUGUUCUCUAAAUAUGAAUAUAAAGUUGCUUUGGGUUGUAGCCAAUUGAUUUUAAAGCCCUUCCUUAUUAUAAUUAUUUUGAGAAAUUUACAUAAGCUGCAUUGAUUAUAAAAUUCAACAAUUACUCAAUAGAAGAUUGAUUUGUUAAAUAAAAAGACAUAAAUGCUAAAAUGA